GUUGUCAUGGCCAAGUGGUUAAGGCGAUCUAUGUGAGUUCCAAUGGGAUGUCCCCACACAGGUUCAAAUCCUGCCGAUAACG